rnacentral:rRNA from 1 species
CCUACGGGAGGCAGCAGUGAGGAAUAUUGGUCAAUGGACGAGAGUCUGAACCAGCUAAGUAGGGUGAAGGAUGACUGCCCUAUGGGUUGUAAACUUCUUUUAUAAAGGCAUAAAGUCAGGCACGUGUGCCUUUUGACAUGUACUUUAUGAUUAAGGAUCGGCUAACUCCGUGCCAGCAGCCGCGGUAAUACGGAGGAUCCGAGCGUUAUCCGGAUUUAAUGGGUUUAAAGGGAGCGUAGAUGGGUUGUUAAGUCAGUUGUGAAAGUUUGCGGCUAAACCGUAAAAUUGCAAUUGAUACUGGCAGUCUUGAGUACAGUAGAGGUAGGUGGAAUUCGUGGUGUAGCGGUGAAAUGCUUAGAUAUCACGAAGAACCCCGAUUGCGAAGGCAGCUUACUAAGCUGUGACUGACAUUGAUGCUCGAAAGUGUGGGUAUCAAACAGGAUUAGAUACCCUUGUAGUC